GCCCCAGUAGCUUAGCUGGUAGAUUUUUGCUAAAAGCAAUUGCCUCGUAAGCAAUAGGUCGUGGGUUCAAAUCCCACCUGGGGCU
rnacentral:tRNA from 1 species